rnacentral:rRNA from 1 species
GUUUGAUCCCUGGCUCAGAUUAACGCUGGCGGGAUGCUUUACAUGCGGAAGUCGAACUGACACGGACUUCGGUCUGGUGGCGAGUGGCGAACGGGUGAAUAAUGUAUCGGAACGUGCCUGAAGUGGCGGGGGAUAACUACGCGAAAGCGUAGCUAAUACCACACAUACGCCCUUCGAGAAGCCAGGGGACGCUGGACUCGCACUAAUGAGCAGCCGAUAUCAGGAUUCGUAGUUAGCAGGUGAGAUAACGGCUCACCAAGGCGACGAUCCGUAGCUGGUUUGAGGACGACCAGCCACACUGGGACUGAGACACGGCCCAGACUCCUACGAGGCAGCAGUGGGAAUUUUGGACAAUGGGGAAACCUGAUCCAGCCAUCGCAUUAUUACGAUGAAGAGGCCCUUCCGGGUUGUAAAGCACUUUUGGCAGGAAAAGAAACGGCGCAGGAUAAUACCCCGUGCAACUGACGGUACCUGCAGAAUAAGCACCGGCUAACUACGUGCCAGCAGCCGCGGUAAUACGUAGGGUGCAAGCGUUAAUCGGAAUUACUGGGCGUAAAGCGUACAUAAGCGGUUCGGAAAGAAAAGAUGUGAAAUCCCAGAGGCUUAACUUUGGAACUGCAUUUUUAACUACCGAGCUAGAGUGUCAGAGGGAGGUGGAAUUCCGCGUGUAGCAGUGAAGAAUGCGUAGAUAUGCGGAGGAACACCGAUGGCGAAGGCAGCCUCCUGGGAUAACACUGACGCUCAUGCAACGUGGGGGGGCAAACAACGGAGUUAGAAUACUGGUGAUCACGCCUAAGCUUGAUGUCAACUAGCUGUUGGGGCCUUCGGGCCUUGGUAGCGCAGCUAACGCGUGAAGUUGACCGCCUGGGGAUACGGUCGCAAGAUUAAACUCAAGGAAUUUGACGGGGACCCGCACAAGCGGUGGAUGAUGUGGAUUAAUUCGAUGCAACGCGAAAAGAGCCUUACCUACCCUUGACAUGUCUGGAAUCCCGAGGGCUGGGAGUGCUCGCAAGAGAACCGGAACACAGGUGCUGCAUGGCUGUCGUCAGCUCGUGUCGUGAGAUGUUGGGUUAAGUCCCGCAACGAGCGCAACCCUUGUCAUUAGUUGCUACGAAGAACGCUCUAAUGGAACUGCCAGUGAGCAAACCGGAGGAAGGUGGGGAGGAUGACGUCAAGUCCUCGCGGCCCAUAUGGUGAACCACACGUCAUACAAUGAUCCGGGACAGAGGUCUUCAACCCGCGAGGGGGAGCCAAUCCCAGAAACCCGAUCGUAGUCGGAUCGCAGUCUGCAACUCGACUGCGUGAAGUCAGGGAGAUCGCAGUAAUCGCGGAUCAGCAUGUCGCGGUGAAUACGUUCCCGGGUCUUGUACACACCGCCCGUCCACACCAUGGGAGUGGGUUUCAAGUAGUUAGCCUAACCGUAAGGAGGGCGAUUACCACGGUAGGAUUCAUGACUGGGGUGAAGUCGUAACAAGGUAG